UACGUAGGGUCCGAGCGUUGUCCGGAAUUAUUGGGCGUAAAGGGCUCGUAGGCGGUCUGUCGCGUCGGCUGUGAAAUCCCGAGGCUCAACCUCGGGUCUGCAGUCGAUACGGGCAAACUGGAGUGUUGCAGGGGAGACUGGAAUUCCUGGUGUAGCGGUGAAAUGCGCAGAUAUCAGGAGGAACACCGGUGGCGAAGGCGGGUCUCUGGGCAACAACUGACGCUGAGGAGCGAAAGCGUGGGGAGCGAACAGG
rnacentral:rRNA from 1 species